rfam:Oryza nivara chromosome 2, whole genome shotgun sequence.
AAAGACUCAAUUUCUGGGUUUUCAUGUCUAACGUUUGACCGUCCGUCUUAUAUGAAUUUUUUUAUUAUUAGUAUUUUCAUUAUUAUUAGAUGAUAAAACAAGAAUAAUACUUUAUGCAUGACUUAUCUUUUUAAACUUUUUCAUAUUUUUUUAAAUAAGACGGACGGUCAAACAUUAGACACGGAAACCCAGAAAUUGAAUUGUU